AAUAUGUAUUAGUCUGAUAAAACUUUAAAUAAAUUAAAAACAACGCUUCAAUGAAGAUAAUAAUUUAAAUUGAACACUGAAACAAUGAUGAAAUGUGUAAAAUACAUUUUUCAAUAUUGAAAUGAAAUGAAUUUUACUGAUAAGCCAUCGUACCGUGUAUUUCAUACCGUAUUGUUUCAAUGUUUAAAAUGUUUCACUUCAAUUCAAGAAAGAAAAUAAUAUUCAUUUAUAUAAAUUAUUUCAUAUUUAUUUUAUGUCAGAUGAAUUAUGUAGAAGGUGCUGUACCCAUCGAUAUUGAAGUAGAAAAACCAGGAGAACCAGUAAAAAAUUACCCAAAAAUAAUCAUGAUGAUACCAGAUAAGACGCCCUUGAUUUCAAGACGAAAGGAAAAUAGUGUCAUAUUGUAAUGUUGUUAAGCUAUUGCAUCGUUUUCAAUAUUAUAAAAGCUUAUAAUCGUCUAGUCUCGGCAAAAUUAGUACUUAAUUAGUACCUAUAAAAAUAUAUAAUAUAAAUUUAAAUAUAUUUUAAAUAUAUUUAAAUUUAUAUUAUAUGUAUGACUGAAACCGUAGGCCUAGUUAUUUAUCAAAUUAAAUAUGACUAACAAUUACGCGAUUAAAUUGAGUUCAAAUUACAAAAUUUAAUUUGUCAUUCACUUCAAAAUUAAUUUAAGGGAUAUUAAAAUAUCGAGAGAAAUCUCUGAAAACCAUCUGAUUAAACGUAAAAGAGUCGGGUGAGUUGAGAUUAAAACUAUUUCCAGUGAAGUGAAGUGAAUGCGACGGAGCGUAAACUCCAUCAAAAGUUAUAGAAAAGAUCUCUUUGAAAAGCCUCCAAGCGUCAUGAAAAGAUGCAGAAUAAUCUCCUAAGAAUGAAUAUCUUAUCUUAAAUUAUAUUUUAAGUGAAUCUUGCUACCAGUUAUUUUACGGGUAAAGUAACAGCCUGUAAAUGUCCUACUGCUGGGCUAAGGCCUCCUCUCCCUAUUUGAGGAGAAGGUUUGGAGCUUAUUCCACCACACUGCUCCAAUGCGGGUUGGUGGAACACAUUUUACGGGUAUUGUCAAUUAAUUUUUUCUUAACGUCAUGAAUAUUCUGAAAUACGAUAUUAAUUUAUUUAUAACUUAACCUAAACUCAAUAUAUUAUAUAAACGUGU